AGAGUUUGAUCAUGGCUCAGAUUGAACGCUGGCGGCAUGCUUAAUACAUGCAAGUCGAACGGUAACAGGUCCUUCGGGAUGCUGACGAGUGGCGGACGGGUGAGUAAUGCAUAGGAAUCUGCCCAGUAGUAGGGGACAACCUGAGGAAACUCAGGCUAAUACCAUAUAAGUCCUACGGGAGAAAGGGGGCCUCUUCUUGAAAGCUCUCGCUAUUGGAUGAGCCUAUGUCGGAUUAGCUUGUUGGUGGGGUAACGGCCUACCAAGGCGACGAUCCGUAGCUGGUCUGAGAGGACGAUCAGCCACACUGGGACUGAGACACGGCCCAGACUCCUACGGGAGGCAGCAGUAGGGAAUAUUGGACAAUGGGCGAAAGCCUGAUCCAGCAAUGCCGCGUGUGUGAAGAAGGCCUGCGGGUUGUAAAGCACUUUCAGUUGGGAAGAAAAUCUUUAGGUUAAUAUCCUAAAGUCUUGACGUUACCAACAGAAGAAGCACCGGCUAACUCUGUGCCAGCAGCCGCGGUAAUACAGAGGGUGCGAGCGUUAAUCGGAAUUACUGGGCGUAAAGCGUGCGUAGGCGGUUAAGUCAGUCGGAUGUGAAAGCCCAAGGCUUAACCUUGGAACGGCAUUCGAUACUGCUUAGCUAGAGUACAGUAGAGGGAAGC
rnacentral:rRNA from 1 species